rnacentral:rRNA from 1 species
CAGCCGCCGCGGUAAUACGUAGGUGGCAAGCGUUGUCCGGAAUUAUUGGGCGUAAAGGGCUCGCAGGCGGUUUCUUAAGUCUGAUGUGAAAGCCCCCGGCUCAACCGGGGGGGAUCAUUGGAAACUGGGAAACUUGAGUGCAGAAGAGGAGAGUGGAAUUCCACGUGUAGCGGUGAAAUGCGUAGAGAUGUGGAGGAACACCAGUGGCGAAGGCGACUCUCUGGUCUGUAACUGACGCUGAGGAGCGAAAGCGUGGGGAGCGAACAGGAUUAGAUACCCCAGUAGUCCCUGUCUCUUAUAC